rnacentral:rRNA from 1 species
AUUGAACGCUGGCGGCAUGCUUUACACACGCAAGUCGAACGGUAACAGGCCGCAAGGUGCUGACGAGUGGCGAACGGGUGAGUAAUGCAUCGGAACGUGCCCAGUCGUGGGGGAUAACUACUCGAAAGAGUAGCUAAUACCGCAUACGAUCUAUGGAUGAAAGCGGGGGACCGUAAGGCCUCGCGCGAUUGGAGCGGCCGAUGUCAGAUUAGGUAGUUGGUGGGGUAAAGGCUCACCAAGCCAACGAUCUGUAGCUGGUCUGAGAGGACGACCAGCCACACUGGGACUGAGACACGGCCCAGACUCCUACGGGAGGCAGCAGUGGGGAAUUUUGGACAAAGGGCGCAAGCCUGAUCCAGCAAUGCCGCGUGCAGGAAGAAGGCCUUCGGGUUGUAAACUGCUUUUGUACGGAACGAAACGGCUCUGGUUAAUACCCGGGGCUAAUGACGGUACCGUAAGAAUAAGCACCGGCUAACUACGUG